GAUUUCGUUAGAAUUAACUCCGAGUUAGAAUUACUUAAUAUUAACUAUUAUAUUAAGUAAUAUUAAAUAAAUUUACAACAAUUUUAAAUUUUUUCAGAUGAGUAAAAUAAUAAAAUUUUGUCAUUCAGAUUUAACUAGAUUCAUUCAAUUUUUAUCAAACAGCCCCCAAGUUUCUUUAACAAGGCAAAGGCCAUAAGUUAUAUCCAAGACACUUUUGCUUCUCCCUAUUCUAAAAUUUACAUAACCAUCAAUGUUACAGAAGUGCCAACAACGUCAAAUUUCAUGCAUAUGACAAAAUAAAAACACAUUUUUCUUCUUCCUCAAAUAUAAUAGAACGGAAAACCUUUCAAAGUGAAGCUUCAGAUGAUCAAAUAUUGGCACCAAAAUGGAAACCAAAACCCUGUUGACAUGCGUUAGAGGGAAAAAGGAAUUUAGGAAGCACAAGUUCAUGUUACUCGAGCUUAGUCCUAGCAAGUCUUCAACAACGAUUCCUUUCAAAGAAGAUACCGGUUAUAACUUGGAUGAGCAAAAAUAGAGCUUCUUGAGUGCAAUUAUAGAGGGAAAACUGAAUAAGAUUUGGGACAAUUUCUGGAGAAGUUUGCUUAAAAUUUAAAUGAAAUAAUAUAAAAGCAUAGGAAAUGGUGAAUGUAAUGAAACAUCAAGGAAUUACCGAGGAAAGGUUGUUGAAGGUAUACCAAAGUUGCUCACCCACAUCCCUGGUACUCUGCUCAGCCACAUAUUUUGUGUCAAAGCAGCAAAUGCAAUAUCAGCACUCCUCAAGCUGUAAGGUGUACACAGACUUAACUUUUCACGUAAUAUAACCUAUUCAGACCAUUAUAGAGAUAAUGGUAGCAUUUGCAGGAACAUCCAAAAGCACUCUGGGCGAGUUCCAUGGCAAGAAGAAGCACAAUGUGAAAAUGGUAGGAAACUCUCUAAAUCAGGAUCUCAAUUUACUACGGGUACACUUGGCAUCUUCCAACAUGCUCUUCUUUGAAAGCAGUGUCAACAAGAUUUAAAAGACGGUCAUCUAGAGAAUUUAGUAUAUAAAUCGAAAACAGCAAGAUCUACUUGGUGUUCAUAUCAAAAUAUCUACGUGUUGAAAGCUAAUAUAUUUACCACCAACCUGGAUACUUCACCAAGAGCAUUAGGAAUGAUCACACAUGUCAUAACAAGUUCAAUGACCA
rnacentral:lncRNA from 1 species